GUCCGCACACUCAGGAAAUGCAUCACCGGGGGCUUCACUCCGGUUCCCAGGCGCGCACUGGACACUCCCAUGGUUUCGGAGGUGGCAGCCCUGGCUGGCGACCGCCCAGGGACCGGCGGUAAGCAUUGAGCCGCCCGGGGGAGGCACCUGCGGCCCAGGAUGCUCAUCAGCCAGGGGGCCGGCCCACGGGCUCUCAUGGCGAGUGUCUCGUCCACGCCCCAGCCGUGGCCCCGGCAGGGAUGGCGGAAGUGGCCAGUGCUAUGGACCAACCACCCUGAAACCUUGGGCCUUCAAACAACCCUGGUCUUGUGCCCUCUGUUUUACAUCGCACACUGUGGCAGGAAAUUCUCUCCAGGUCUGCAGCCCGGUAGUUCAAGGUCAAGGUACUUGCAGAGCUGGGUCCUGUGAGGGCUGAGGAUGUGCCGCCCCUGCCUGUCUCUCAACUGCCGGUGGCUUCUGGCAAUCCGUGGUGUUCUGUGGCUGGCAGGUGCAUCGCCUGAUGGACACCAGCGACUUCCCAGCACCCCCCUCCCCGCCGUGUCUCUGGGUCCAGUUCUCUGCGUCUCCUGAGGACACAGGUCACAUUGCAGGAGCGCCCACCCUCACGUCCCCACGCGAACCUGACCACCUCUUCAAGGGCAGCCGGGAUGGCAGGGCAGGCGCUCUCUCGAGCUGCGCACAGAGGAGGAAGACACAGGUGCCAGCCCCCGCACGGAGCACUGGACACUCCUUCAAAGCGGGCCGGCCCCCUUGGGACGCCCUCAGAAGCACAAAGCCUCCAAGUCAAAGGCUUCCUGUUGUAAAUGCACGUCCACACCUCGGGACGUGGGCCUGGGCGAGGGGGAGACCGCGUGCAGGGACCGUCGGUGGGAAACGCUCCGAAGGUUCCCAGUGUGGGGCGGGGGCGCGCGGGUCUCGGAGGCGGGUGGAGGCCACUCCAGUGCGCCCAGAGUCUGGCGUCCAGGCUGCUGCUCUUCUAGAAUCUCCACUGCCUGAUGGCCAGUUGAAUUCAGUGAUUUGCCCUCCAAAAUGCAGAAGGGAGUUCACAGCCAGGCCCCCUCGUCCUAAACAGGAGAGGCCGUGACCUGCGAUGCUGAGGCCCAGACAAGACAGCGAGCGCGGGACUCUCCUGGAAGGUUCCGGAACGUGGGGUUCGACUCCAGGCACCAUAGAAUAGUCCUGAUUACAGGAAGAACUCAUGUUGAUUUGAGAAAAUUCAGAAAACUAACAGCCCAAAGAGGAAAACUGAAGACGUCUCGGACCCUGAUCCCGGGGAUGGGCAUCCAGGCUUUGCUAGGUACCGUGGACCUAGGCCUGGGCCCGUGACGACGUGGGAACUGGAUGAAGGUGGAUCAAGAUGGCAAUGUGAGGAGGUUACAGACUGAUGUCCAUGAGUGACAUGGGCUGGUCAUGGAAUGUUCUAGAUGAGUGACAUGGGCUAGUUAUAGAAUAUUCUAGAUGAUGAUGUGGACUGGUUAUAGAAUGUCCUAGAUGAUGAUGUGGACUGGUUAUAGAAUGUUCUAGAUGAUGUGGGCUGGUUAUAGAAUGUUCUAGAUGAUGAUGAUGUGGGCUGGUUAUAGAAUGUUCUAGAUGAUGUGAGUUGGUUAUAGAAUGUUCUAAAUGAUGUGGGCUGGUUAUAGAAUGUUCUAGAUGAUGAUGUGGGCUGGUUAUAGAAUGUCCUAGAUGAUGAUGUGGACUGGUUAUAGAAUGUUCUAAAUGAUGUGGGCUGGUUAUAGAAUGUGCUAGAUGAUGAUGAUGUGGGCUGGUUAUAGAAUGUUCUAGAUGAUGUGAGUUGGUUAUAGAAUGUUCUAGAUGAUGUGGGCUGGUUAUAGAAUGUUCUAGAUGACCACGAGGGUGUGGUUAGACUGAUCCAGAUGAUGACGUGGUCACAGCAGGACUAGUGAUGCCCACACUCUGGCUUCGCUGGCAGCCAAGCUGCUGAGCCCCUGUUGGGGCAGCCCCAAGGGGUGGGGAUGGGACACCCGGGGAGCAGCCCGCACCCCAUUCGUGAGCUGCCAGUGCGUUCAUACGGUAGUGACACCAUCGGUACCCCCAGGUCUCUGGAGGCUGGACAGAUCUCCAUUGUAGUCAGUGGCCUGGGAGCUCUCUGCCCGCCACGCCCCCUCCCCCAGGCCCCAUGCCCACCAGGGUGCCACGCCUGCCACGGCAGGGAGUCAGCCCCCCACCCAGUGAUAACACGAGAUGCACGUUCCAGAAGCUCUGAAUUCCCUGCGGGAUGCAGCCACAGCGGCCACAGACACAGCCGGCCUGACACAAACCCAUCCCCCGUCCUGCCCCCCCCACCUCAGGAUCAAUAGAGAGGCAAGGGUGUGGGGCAUUCCCUGGGGGGCCCCUGACACAGAUGGGACACGUGCAGAGCCGAGAGUCCAGGUGUGCAGAGGGCAGAGAGCCAGAGGGAGGCUGGGGGGUGGGCGGUCAGGUCCCCCGGCUGUGUUCAUGUUCGUCCCGGAACCCUGUCCACAGAUGGGUGCUUGGGGACGGCAGAAACAGCGUCUCUGCCUCAUGGUGGCCAAACGGCUGCCUUAGGGCCACACAGGACUACUGUGUCCCGGAAGGCAAGAGGCAGCAUCAGUAACCCGCCCCCGCCCCCCGCCUCUGGAAUAAAUAAGUAAAUGCAUAUUUAACA
rnacentral:lncRNA from 1 species